rnacentral:tRNA from 1 species
GCCGUGGCGUCGCUGGCAUUGGCGGCGGUUGCCGCGUUCGCUGCCGCGGUGGCGGCGGCGUUCGAGGCGGCGGCCAGGGCU